CUGUAAAAAGUCAAUUAAGUAAUCUCUUGAUAUGGGAGAUGAGACGCUAAAGAAGGUACUAAAGAGAGAAAAAGAAGAAGGAUGAUAGUGGAAAAUAAGAUACGGAGAUCAAGAUUUUCAAUAUUAUACCAAAUGUCUAUCAUAACUUCAUGAGAAAUAUAACAUGAGAUUCAACAUUAUUACUAGUAUUAUGAACCUAAAGCACCUGUUCUACAGCUUUUGAGUUGCAUGACAUCCACUUAUCUGAGCAAAUCUCUUCGAGUUGUUUCGCGCGGAAUAUUGAUUUUCCCGUGACUGGGUAGCAACAAGAAGCAUAUUGUGACCACCUACUGAUACAAUUUCAGCUACUCUUUUUUGCACAACUUAAUCUUUUAUAUCCUUCAUUGUAAUCAGUUAAUUGCUCUAUAGCAAGUAUUGAAAUACCC